GGACUGGGGUCUGAAAUGUUCUCCAUUGCUGGGGCUUUAGGAGACCCAAGUAUCGUUGGAUUACAGCUCAAGCCCAAUUUGCAUGAGCAGAGAAACAAAGGGUAAUUAAAUGAACCAUAACUUAUACAGACUUGGGUGAUCUCUACACAGUAGGCAGGAUUUGCCCUUGUGACAAAGGUUCAUGGGUUGUUUUUGUUUGUCUCUUGAUCCAGUGGAAGGUGAUCAACAAAUCUGCAAACUUGCAGUCUGUUAACUGCUCUUCAUGAAUUCUGCAGCCACGGCCACUGCAAUUGCAAUUAUAGAAUCGUAGAAUCAUUAAGGUUGGAAAAGACCACCACGAUCAUCAAGUCCAAAAGCUAACCCAUCACCACCAUACCCCACACUAAACCAUGACCCUAAGUGCCACAUCUGUCCUUCUCUUUAAAACCUCCAGGGAUGCUGACUCUCCACCACCUCACUGGGCAGCCUGUUCUAAUGGAUUACCACUCUUUCAGAGAAUAAAUUUCUCCUAAUACCCAACCUGAACCUCCCCUGGGUCAACUUAAGGCAAUUAACUCUCAUCCUAGAUACAAUGAGGCAUUCAGGAUGAGAUGUCCCUUUCUGGUGCUGGGAAUUGCAGUUCUUCUCAGUGUCAGUAGGUCCAUUCUCUGAAUUGAACUGUGAUGCCCUAGAAAAUUGAGUUCCUGUUGAAUAACCCAUGCAAGUAUCUUAGCCCAUUCUGGUCACCCAGGUCCUCCAGUUGUUCUACUCAUCUGUCUUCUGAACAGCUGGUGAUCAAACAUGGACAGGCCAGUCUGAACCUGACUUGAUCCUUCCUUUAAUCUAGUUUCUCAUGCAACAGGGCUCUGUGGCCACCGUGAAAUAAAAGAGAAUAAAUAAAUAACACCUGUCUUGGAAAUGUCUGUUGAUAGCUGACUCACAGCAGGGCUGGGGUUUUGCAAGCAGCAUGGUCUGGUUGUUCCUGCAAUUAGAGAGAGCUAAACAAAUGGAAAUGAGUAGGAGGAGGAGAUGAUCCUGAUCAGCACAACCCCGGAGCAAAGUGUGUCUCCUACUGCUUCAGCCAGGCAAAAAUUUCUGAAGGUGCAUAGAAAGGCAUCUAGAAAAUCAUUAAUUUACAUAUUCAGUGGUAUUUUACCAUCUACACUCCAGUCCUGACAGGAGUUGGGACGCCAUAGGGAAGGCAUAUUAGCAAAUGAAAGCUCCUGGGUCUGUUCCUGGCCCUGAGGUUAGCUGGUAUUCCUCCAAAAUAAAGUGGCUGAGUGCAAAAUACCAAUUGGAAAGUACGUCUAAUUUGUGAUAAGUUCUGCACCCUGUCCAGGAAUUGUCAGAGAUGGUCUUAACCAUUCAGGCAAAAACUGUGCUAAUAAUUAAACAACAUGGACAACUGUCCCCAUGCUGUAGGACAGCCCUUGAAACUAUGACUGAACUCUUCAUGUAUUAUUGGGAUAGACAUAGCUGCUGCUGUGACAGCUCUUUUUCAGAUUCUAGCCUCAGGGAAGCUGGAAGGUUGGUGACCUCCUCUGUAGCACAACUGGAUCCCCCUGCAAGCAAGUUAGGUAAUAUGGUACUGGGAAGCCCCUGGGGCACCAUUUUCCUUCCUUGAGCCAAAGGGCAGGUUCUCCAAAGGAUUUCAACACCUCCGUGUAACCUGGCCCCCAGGCUGCCCAUGCUGUGUUGCUGAAUCUGAAUAUCUCUGUGCCAUGCUGGGACUCCCAUGGUGAGCACCCAGAUACCUUCAGAGCACUCAGGAAAAGUGUGAGCAUGUGGGAGAUGGGGUCAGAGUCAAUGCAUCAAAGUCCUUCAGCAAUGUGAAACAUGAAGACUUCAAGCCCAUGUUGAUUUUCACCGAGCCCUGUAGAUUCAAAAAUGCACCUUGUUAAUCAUAUUGAAAAAUAGCACAAUUAUUUUUCACUUCUUCCUCAGAAAUAGGAGUCAAGUCAGGUUAAAGCAAACUGCUUCCUUGCCUAUGCAGAGCUUUGUACUUUGGCUGCAGGACACUCAGCUUUGGCUUCCCAUGCUGAUUUCCAGAUCAUUACAAAGAGUCAUCCCUGCAGGAGGACACCAUGUUGUGAAUCACACUGGGCAAUCCUUGUUUUCUGAAGUGGGUCUAGCUCUUUGGUUGCUGCCUCGUGACAUCGAGGAGGACUGACACACCUCCUCCAGCAUCCACAAUGGCAGGCAGUCCCUAUGCUUGGCAGUACUUCAUCUGUUGGGCAAGCGAUGUGGCUUACCCUCUCCACGCCCAGAAGCUGUAUGUCCAUUGUUGAGGAAUGAUGAAUGCUCAUGGGGUUAUCAGGGCUGACUUCACCAUCCUGUUAAUCCUGCUUCAUGUCAGCAGUACGGAUAGCCCCACUGGUUUGAAGCCAAUGUCAGAAACCUCAAAAAUACCUGAAAAUUACUACCCCCUACACCAGUACUCCCCCUCACCAUUUUUUUUUUUUUUUUUUGCCAUCAAAAAGGAUGAUACCAUGGGUUUUGGUGUCCCUCUGAACUUCCUCUGGCCAUGCCUUCACAGUGAUGAGCAAUGAGUAGUUGUAUCAGGUGCCUUAAAUGUGCAAGAUGCCCAUGACCUCUGCUUCAGGGCUGAUCUGUCCAGGACCUAAAGUUCACACCCUUCCCUUUCUCCAUCUUCUACAUGUUCUCUGAGUCUCUGCCUAUUCUUCUUCUGCAGCUCCAUGUCCUAAACCCCAGGUUGUGUACAGGUCAGUUCUCUUUCUUCAACCCCAUUUUCUUUUCUCAGCCAAGUCUUGCAGGGUGGAGGACUUGAGCAGACCAAGCAGCUUUUAUCUGGCGGAGGAUCUGUUCCUGCUUUGUCCUCCCUGCUCUUUGGUGGCUGGAUCUAUGAUGAUUCAUGGAGAAGUCUGCAGAUUUCCUGCACCAAUUUUCCUGGUAGCUCUUUUCUUAGAAGCCGAAGUGUGACAGGCAGUCAGAGACUCCAGAAGGUCUUGAAUUAUCAGCUCCAGCUCCACCUAAAUAGAUCAACAGACAGAGAAGUCAUACAGGCUGGGAACUUUACAUUUGAAUGCUAUCUAGAAGGACCUUGCAUUGUGUAGAAGGAGCACAAAUGUGUUUUUACACUUUUCUCAGGUGUAGCAAAGCUGGAAACCAAUUUACAAUGUGCCAGCUCCUGUUUUUGAACACCAAAGCCAUUGUUCUCUUGCUGCAGCUGCUCUCAAAAGUAGGAUGUGAAGCAUUUAGGACUGUAUAGGUAACCAGCAGCUUUUAUAGGCUACAGGAAAUCAUAAAACGUUUCCUGUUUAUAUUGUCAACCAUGAAUACAAAGCUAGAUCUAUCCUGACUGUAGACAUAAGGGAGUUCUCCAGGUCUAACCCUGGAAAGGCACUUGGCAGUCAUCCACACAGUGAAGCCAUUAAUUUAUGCUACUCAUUGCCAUUUUGCUUUGAGUAGAUGCCUUUGCUGAACUAUCUGGCCAUAGAUGUGUUGUAGUAGUGCUACACUGAUAGUACUGCUAGCCUGACCAUAGAGACAUUAAAGCAUUAAAGGCAAUAAAUGGGAUGAAUUGCCUUAGUGGUGCUUUCACUCAUCUUCAGACCCAUCAGACCAGCCUGAAGGCAAUGCUGAGGUGAGAAAACAACCAACGUGCAUUCCUAUCCUGUCAAAUAAUACAUGAUCCCUGCCCAUCUUUUCAAAUUGUUGUCUUCAUCAUCACUCAGUCCAAACGCAGGAGAGAUAUAUAUCCUGUCCCCAGAUGAAGGUGCUUUUCCUGGGCUGUGAAGACAACUGAGAGAAGAUGAAAGCUUCCCUCCUUGCCCUUCUGGCUUUGGUCCUAUGUGCAUAUCAAGCAAAAGCCCUAUAUUGCUACACCUGUGAGUGGGAACAAAGCAACUGGAGCUGUCUGAAGGCUAAGAAGUGUGCAGACAAGGAUAAGUACUGUGUGACGAAUGUUGCCUCUGUAGGAAUAGGUAUGUGCUGUCAGUGCACAGGGGCUCAGGAAUGGAAAGUGGGGUUUUGGCUCGAUUUGUAUGGUUGCCCUUUGUGAAUGGAUGAGUUGAGGAAUCAUGGGGAAGGACAUAUGGAAGGAGGAGAUUUUGAUAGCCCAAUCUGGCAGUGCUUAAGUUAGCAGAGUUUGGAAAAUUCCUCCCCAGCACAGCUUGAGAUCUUCCUUCUUGUUUUAUGCUUGCGUGGCAAAGGAUACUGAAAUAGGUCUAGUGAGUUGCAGAAGGGAAUAAAACCUGGCAAUGUGCUUUCAAUCCAGGCAAGAACAUUCCUUCAUGGAGCUUCAUGGAGCUGGACUCAGUAUUCCUUGUGGAUCCCUUCCACCUCAGGAUAUUAUAUGAUUCUAUGUAUGCCACCAUUGUACACCUAAUAAAGACUCAACAUGAGGAUCUAUGCUGGGAAGUGCUGGAUGCACAUUAGAUAUAUUAAAUGGUCCUGGCAAUCACUGAGUGGGUGAGAUUGUGAAGGGUCUUAUUGACCGUGCUGGUCCUCAGGACAGGAGGGCAUAUUAGUUCCUCUUCUAGAAGACUGAAAGGUUCUUGGGAAGACCAUCACUAAUACUGGUCUCCCCUUUCUCCUUUGAUCAAGGUUCUUUGUCUUUCUGGAAGAGGAUCACCAAGAAGUGCUCCAGGACCUGUCCAUACCACAACUUCAGCCUGGGUCUGGCUACCUACACCUCAUUCUGCUGCCAGACCUUCUUGUGCAACCUGCAUGCCUGCCCAGGACCCAGGCUUGCUCGACCAUAAGAUGUUGGGAUUCCUGAAUCAGUGUCCUUCACUUGCUCAGAGAAAGGGGCUCUUGAAGGCCUGAAGAACGUGGUCAGAUUUCCCCAGAAGGACUGAACAAAGAAUGGUCAGGCAUUGGAACAGACUGUCCACGGAGGUGGAGGAGACACUGUCCCUAGAGGCUUUCAAGAACUAUGGAGAUGUGGCACUGAGGAACAUGGUUUAGCAGGUAUUAAGGGAAUGGGUUGGGGUUGGACUUGAUGAUCAUAGUGGUCUUUUUCAACCUUAAUGAUUCUAUGAUUUUAAAGUGGGGUUUUUCUCUGUGUGGGGGAGGCAGGAGAGAGCAGCUGUGAACAAAAGCAGUGCCUGAUGCCAAGCAUUGUGUUUACAGCUCAGAAAUGGGAGCAUGCUUCCCUGACCUGUGCAACCAGAGAAAGGAAAAUUUCCUAGAGCUGCUUUUCCCAUCAGAGAUCCUACUUCCCUCCCCCUAACCUGCUCGUGCUUUGGGCUGCAAAGGAAAGCAACAAUUGCAGCUGCAGCAGCAAAAUCCACCUCUCUACCAUGCCAGUGAUUUUGGGCAUGCUUCUCAAAUUGGGAAUGAGUCAAAACCCAGUACCCAGUGUAUGCAGUCAAACUGGGGCACGUUGUUCCAACUAUGCCCUUUUCUUGGCAAACACAAUGGUGUCUACAAACCCAGGGUGGUUUUUCCAUGCUGCUAUUGCUCCCUGGCAUGGUGUGGGUGGUUUUUGGUUCCCAUGCCCUUCCCAGGGCUGUCAUCCAUGAGGUUUUCAAAGCCUUUGUUUGUGCUAGUGACUGGCAAGCUGGGUUUUAGAGGGGCUGCUCCACCAAUAGAUGGCAUGGACUGUGGCAAGAGAGCUGCUCUCCCCAUAACCUGGAGCAGCAGGAAUGGGGGUGAAGAAACAAAGCCUGAGAAGUCUGCAGUAUGGUGCAAAGGCAGACCAGUUCCUUUCCCUCCCUCUGCUUGACCACCAGUGAAAAUAUACACCAUAAAACCAUAUUUUUUCCAUGAUAAUAAUAAAAUAAAAUAAAAACAAUCACACACAGCUCUGUCUCUUUGGCUGAUCCUCCUGGGAAAAUACACUCUUGUAUGCAGUUAGGCAUACAAUUGUGUUCCCAGAUACCCUGCUGUUUGUUUCUCUACCCUUCUGAAGACACACCUUUCAGGUUGGGAUGGUUUCAGCCAGGAUGUUUCCUCCAAUCACUGCUCCUUCACCUGCUAUCGGCUCACCUCUUGCAGAGAUAGCCCUGUUGUCCUUGCUCUCCCUGUCUGCCUUUGAGGAUGCGGUUGUGGAGGUUUCAGCAUGGCUAUUAUCCAAGGUGUGAUGAGUUUCUAGAUGUAACAAGCACCUUUUUCUCACCAUGCAACUGGGGUUUUGACGCCUUGCUGGGUGAGCAGGAGUGGGUCAGGAGAGAAACUGGAGCACCCUGAUCUUCCCACGCCUGUGCUGAAUUUUGCCACUCUCAACUGAGCCUCACUUUCCACUCUCAGUUGGGUCUCACCUGCAAGAAAUCAGAACCAGAAUUCCUAAAACAAAUGAACUGAAGAAAGGUCGUCUAUGGAGCUCAUUACAGCUUUCCCCCAGAUGGAGGAAGGAUGUUUCCUCAUUUCACUCUCAGCUCUCAUCUAACCAUGGAAAUUUUAGCUGUCAGGUUGCACGUUGCACAGCAGAGGAUAUUUCCAGCCCUGAAAGAACCAUCACUCAAAUCAUUGGAUGAGUCAAGAAAAUUAAAAAAAAAAAAAAAGAAGAAGAAGAACAAUUUUGCAAAGCAUGACUGUUUCCUUGCCUUCUGGGGAAGAAGGGGACGUGUGGCAUGCCGGGUGCCUUUAUAAUGGGUAGGUAAGGGAAAUUAUAUUUCUGACAGAAGGUAAAUGGACAAGUACACCACGACUUUCUGGUGUCCCUGUGGAGGGUCUCACAAGGCCAGCUGCUACCACAGCUGUGUCACAGAUGAGUUUCUCUCACUUAUCCCUGGCCUGGAAGCUCCAAAUAACUGUUCCCUGCACCACCACGUGACUCUAAGAUCUUGAAUUUUAGGAGGGCUGAACCUCCAAAAAAUCCCACUUUCAGAGAAAUGCAAUGACAGAAUUACCAGCUGAGCUGUGUUACAAGUGUAGCUUCAAUAAACCUGUAUAAGAUAAUGUCUCUCCAAACACAGUUGUGGCCAGUGGUGUCCUCCUUGGAGAGAACUGGCCUUAACUCCUUAGAGGGUAUCUCAAGGGAUACCCAUACCCAGAGGGUGGUGACGCACUGGAACAGGUUGCCCAAGGAGGUUGUGGAUGCCCCAUCCCUGGAGGCAUUCAAGGCCAGGCUGGAUGUGG